rnacentral:misc_RNA from 1 species
GCGCUUGAUCUUCCGGGGUCUCAGCCUUUCGGCUCAACAAGAGGUGAGAAGCGUCUGCGGUGGCGAUGAAGUCUCCCUGCUCACACAAGAGGAUGUAUGUGAACGUGUGGGCCCUCCCUACUUUUAUAAAGGGCGAGAUGGCAGCAGUGGCGCUCUGCAGUUCCUGCGGUGCCGCCACGAGAGACAUACACUUAACAAUCCGCUUACACAUCAAAAGGUGACCGCGGCGUGCAGGAAGCUCUCUCGAUCAAGUGCCAGGUAACGUCGCACCCAGCCUUCUCGUCCUCGGGAUCGACGUGCGCUCGGUCCGGCUGCUUUAGGACAGGCAAAAACGACCCAGCCGGGUGAGGGGGAUGGAGGGGGACCACUCCACUCCAUUGGCCCAAUGAAGAACACCUGACGUGUGCAAGCGAUAACGAAACCUCGACGUGGCCCGGCGCACACAAGUGGUGAAACAGGGCAGCAUCCGCCCGUCCCCCUUCGCGUCCCACUACGAGACCCGCCUCCACGCUCUUCAAGCUGCCCACGGUGCGUGACCUCGACGUGGCACUCCGUGAAAUCAGCUGCGGCUCCUCCCCGGGCGUCGACGAGGGUGACGGUGAGGCCAUCGACCCCCCUCCCGGUGCACGGCAGCGGGGGGAGCGCUGCUGGCAAUCGCCAACCAGAGCGCCACCAACAGCCGCGUCGCUGGUGCAUGGAAAGGGGAGACUCCCCUUCUACCUCAUUCCCCCCUCCUAAGGCCGCACAACCCCGAUGACGCUCCCGCGUCCCGCCGCCCCCGUUGCACGGAACAGCACUCUGCGCCUGUUAACCGAGCAAACAAUCUAGCGAGGACUGCGCGAUUAUCUGCAAAACAGACCCCCACCACAGCAGUUUGUCUAACGUCCUCAGCACUUCACCGCAGACCCUCCACCCCCCCUCCUCCCCCCUUCCGCUGCCGCCGGACUCUCUCCUCCACAAUGCCGUCAGGCACCAGACGGGCACCGUGACUGGAGCAGCGUUUGUGGACGCUACGCGUGCGCGUGUGGCUGGGCAGAUGACGGCGCUGCCAUCACGGCACCGAGGAGGCUCAGCGUAGACCUUCGCCUAACUCGCUGGACCAUGAACGCGUCUUGCGAUGGUGGCGCCCGUGCUGGCCUCGAGAAGGCUGCUUCCGAGGCGGCCUUCCCCUUCAUCACGUGGAGUGGUGUCGCUGAGUGUGGUGCUCGGCAAGGCACACGGACUGCGCCACGCCCUCUGUGCUGAUGACCGCACAUUCCCGAAGCCCUCCACAGCCGACGAUUUCAUAGGCGCCACACUACCGUCCGCCCUCUGGAAGGCAGAGCACUGCACACGGGAGCGCUUCGUGGGUGUGUGGGCGCCCCCUCCCCCUUCCCCCCAGGAGGCAGCACACCGUGCUUGGCGCGCGACACCGCAACGAGCCGAGGAUGCGGUAGUGCGAGCGGUGCGCGCGGGCGGUGCCCGGCACCGCUGGCACGGCGCAUCGCAUCGCAAGGCGGCGCGACGGGGUCUACACGGAUGAGCCCCACAGUGCGUGCGUGCGAAGCAAGCGGCAUCCCCUACGUGCGACCUGGCUGCGCGGAUGGGGCGCUGACGCCGGCGGCAUGACGAGGGCAGCCCGAGUGACACGGCCGAGUGCUCCAGACUCCGCACUGUGAAGGGCGCCCGCACCGUACUGUGGAAUGCCGCGGCUUGAGGUGGUUUUGGGCGGAACGUGGCAUGCAGGCAGUGUGCGCAUGGCCUGCGAGAGCCCUGACCUGAGGCUGGCCCGCUUCCUCCCGGAGCUGAUGCGGCGCCUGCACGCAGACCACCCCCUCGUGCCCGCACGACAGACGCCACGGCUGCUGCCCUCGAGCGCGACCGUGGGCGCAGCAGGCAUGCGAAGGGGGAAAGGGGAAGAGCUCGGCAGACGCUGUGCCCGAUCCGACGGCAGGACGCUUCGUUGUAGACGACCACGAUGAAGCCGUGGUGCCACGGAGGCCGGUGAGCUGUGGUUGUGCACGCGUCUGUUUGUUGACGUGUUCGAGGCGCAGCGGACGCGCUGGCACGGAAAAGCAGACGAGAGUAUUUUGUUCUUCUUCAGGUAUCCGUUGGCGGCUCUGCAGCGAUGAGCUUUUGCUCUCUUUUUUUUUCGUUCGUAGUUAAAGGCUCCGUGUUCUUGUUGUGCUCUCCAGUGUAGUUUUCUUUUUUUUCUACCGUUCCUUUCUUUUUUCGUUUUUGCCUACUUUUGUGCCUUCGCAUUUUUUUCUUUGUUGUGUCGGACGCUCACCUGCACAGAUUUGCGGGUGUUGCCGUUUGUUUGUCUGUUGCUUGUGUGCACGUGCUUUGGUGUCCGUGAACGUUUCCCUUCUGUGCGCAUGAGCAUUGACUCUGCCGCUGGCCUUUUCAGUGAAAUAUCGUUUUAUGGAGCCUUCUCUUUUUGCUUGAAAGCGUCGUUGUGCUGCCUUCGAUUUUUUCCAAGGUUCACGUGCAUUGGACUGGCGCCUACUGGUGUUCCACUUUACGUUCACAAGAGAUG